rnacentral:rRNA from 1 species
UACGUAUGGGGCAAGCGUUAUCCGGAUUUACUGGGUGUAAAGGGAGUGUAGGCGGCAUGGCAAGUCAGAAGUGAAAGCCUGGGGCUCAACCCCGGAACUGCUUUUGAAACUGUCAGGCUAGAGUGUCGGAGGGGUAAGCGGAAUUCCUAGUGUAGCGGUGAAAUGCGUAGAUAUUAGGAGGAACACCGGUGGCGAAGGAGGCUUACUGGACGACUACUGACGCUGAGGCUCGAGAGCGUGGGGAGCAAAC